AGAGAGUAAGCUGGCUACGCUGGCUACUCAGGAGGAUGGAGUGUGGAACCCACGGUCAGUCUGCUACAGCAGCACCACAUCAUCCAUCAUUGUGGGACAGUGGGACGACAACAUCCUGGUGUUCAGAGUGGAAUAGUGUGUACAUUCGCUGCUGAGUCAGGACAAGGAUGCUGAGGAUGUGGUGGACAAGGAUGACCUGAAUACACAGAAGCUACUGCUCAGCAAAGAAUACAACUGUCUGGUGAAAGGCUCGACCGUAUCAAAGUCCAGUGAUGUCGGGGUACGCGGCCGUUCCAUGUCUGGGGAUUGCAUUUUAGCAGACACUAACAAGGGAGAGAACUGAAGAUCUGCACUUGCAAAGAGCACCAGCCUUGAUAUAGAGUUGGUACGGCAACGACACAAGUCGCACCCGCUGGAGCCCCAGUCCAGCACGACCCCUCCCCUGACCCCUAGCUCCUCCCAUUUGACCUCCGGCAUCAAAGAGUCAGCAUUGUUUAACAAUUCCAUCCCAUAGCAAUUUCUGAGCACAUAGAGUGUUUGCACAUUUUUCUCAACAAGCGCAAUGUCCGUGUUGAGUCUGCACUUGGGCCCUGAUUGGUUUGAUAGACUCAAGUGUCGGAGCUGGUAGAAGUGUUACAGACAUAAGAAGUUAUUGCAGCUGUUAUGGUAACACUAACAGUCAGCUCUCGCUGUUUGACAUUAAAUUGAAUAUUACGAAAAAAUACAAAGCUGGAUAACUCAUUCCAUUCUUUUUGGGACAAACAGACCUGCAGCAAGGAACAGGAGAAAAUCACGGGAAUGUUUGAAGAGUUUAAGUCAGAAGCGUAAGCUUUCCACCGGGGAUACUCCUGGAUGGUCUAAACUUAAGGGACAGUCCAGGUUUGUCCUGUCAGGUGUCCAAACUGUCCAAAGAGAAUGCAUUUAUUUUUGACGCAGUUGCUAACAAAGAAAGGCAGUACCAACUUCGUUGUGAAGAGUCAAGCAUGGUACAUGCAUGGGGCAUGCCUCAGGUGGGAAUUCCAUCUGCAACAAGGUGCUAAAGGUGAACCCAUCAGAGUGUGUUACUAACCACUUCAAGACCAAACAGCCUCACAUUGAUUCGACGAUAAAGAAGGCGUUGAAAAAUGACAGCAGUUUUGAUGUGUCAUCCAGUUUGCUCUUCGACUCUCAACCCAACGUUAGUUAGAACGCAAACUCAGCAUUUAGCGUUAUCAGCGAGGCUCGAAGGUCAUCUCUGCUUCUUAAGCUUCAGAUAAAAUUAUAAGUCAACAAGACGAACAUCGUUGAAUCAUUUCGCACAUAUACUAAAACUCGCUUAAGAAAUUCAGCACUUCACUUAUGAACAUCUUCUCGCAAGGCGGCUACAUCAGCAAAUCCAAUAGCUGAGCCUUGGUGAGUUCCACUCCUGUCCCGAUGAGUCGCUCGAGGUGAAACAAUCUGAUCCACAGAUAGAGCAGACGAUGAGUGACCCGUCUGUUAACGUGACUGACCUCCAUAUGUUGCUCUCUAAUAUUGUGCCUGAGGAGCAGUGUUGGCCUACAUUCCCUGUUCAGGGCGGUGACUUUAACGUCAAGACUCACACAAUCUCUGUCUAUGGCCCUAUCGCAGCAGCAGCAGCAAAAAAAACAGGAAGUAUUUCAGCUGCACUCUGGGAAAACAGGGCUUAAUGCAUGUGUUUAAAGUGUUGUCCCAGAUAAAGGUGUUAAGUCUGCCCGCUCUUAUCAGUGACCACACUUUCCGAAUAAGCCUUUAAAUGAAAAAUUCCAUAAAAGCGGAAAGUGUCGUGGCUGAUGAUUUUCAAGACUCACACAACCUCUGUCUAUGGCCCUGUCGCAGCAGCAGCAGCAACAAAAACAGGAAGUAUUUCAGCUGCACUCUGGGAAAACAGGGCUUAAUGCAUGUGCCUAAAGUGUUUUACCCACGAAAGCGUGUUAAGUCUGCCCAAGCUAAUUUGUGACCACACUUUCCGAAUGUACCUUAAAACAAAGAAUUCCAUAAAAGCUGAAAGUGUCGUGGCUGAUUAGCUUGUGCAGACUGUACAUGCAAAUCUGGAACAACUCUACACUUAUGCAUUUAGCCCAGUUUUUUAAGACUUUAGAGUUGCACAUUUAGUUCACAUUACAUCAGCUUUUUUCUGACCUUUUUGGAGAAAAGUUCUUAUUACCAAUCAGGAAUUUUGCGGUUUUUGACUGUUCAAACUGAGUUAAUAAAAUGCAUAUUAGAGUUGAUUUGAUAUCAGUUUUAACCAUAGGGGGUAAGGGCAUAUUUUCAUACUUUUUUGUUUGUUUUCACUUGUAUAUUAACCCCUUGCAUAAAUUAUACAAAAUACUGAUGUUUUAUUUAAAUUAAACAAUUAUUGAAAUGCAGUCAACAUUUAAAAAAAAUUAAUCUGCAUUUCAUUUAUUAUUUGGUAACAAAAUUUAAUAUAUUUUUACAUAAAUUGAAAUUAAUCACCUGUCCAGGUUUUCAGUUUACAAAUAUGCCCCUGGAGUGAGAAUAUGAAGUGAAGAUAUUUAUUAAUUAUUGCCCCCGGGUAAUUGGGGUAUAUAGGAAUCACCUUGGACAGACGUUUGUUUGUCUUUUCAUAUGUGUGUGGGCGUUCACUUACAAUUCAACGUUAAGCAUUCAAACUUUCAGGUAUUGUUUAAUCUCAUACGUGAUUGUGCAUGUACAUUUUGUAUCAUAAUACUCUAAAAAUUACAAAACUUAGAAAUUCUAUAACCUCUGCUACAUAGACUUGUGGCAUUGGGGGAUAUUCUAUGUAACAAUGGUUACAAAUUAUUGUUUGACUAGACAGCAAUUACACUUUUUUAGCUGAUUAAGCAUUUUCCAGUAAUAUUAAUAAAGGUUAGAAGAUGUUGUUUUCUUCUAAGUAUUUUGAAAAAAGAAGCCAUAUUUUGCUUUCGAAUUGAGUCAGCCACAUAACUUGUUAAUUUAAUAAUUUAAUGGUCAUGAAAUAAUUUCUAAGGCCAUUCUCUCUCUGAUUCUAGUACGGCAAUUGUCUGUUACUGGCAUAAGUAUAUGUACUCAGUAAGGCCAGGAAAAGGUUAAAUUAAUGACCACACUACUGCGACUAAAAUGCAUUUUUAUGUGUGUAGAGGUCAAUUAAAAAAUGAUAAAAUUUCUGUACUUUUUAGCUGUUUCCUACAGGACCCCGUACAAUCACAGAUUGGUGCCCAGCUGAACAACAGGCUCUCUCUCUUAAGCCAGGCCUGAACGCAUGGGGUCACUUCCUGUGUAUAGGUGGCCGAAUGCAAACCAGUACCAAUCUGGGCUCCAGCAGCAGCCUCAGCCAUGGGGGCAGGUUCAUGAUGAAACCAUGGUCUCAAUUAUCUCUGAACAUCUCAACAUCACAGCAACAGUAGAGCAACAUGACCUGCAAGGUUGGGAUGCUGUUCAUGGUCAGUUUCCAGCUGUAUCCCAGCAACCAUGCCACGCGAGCACAACAGCAAAAACAGCAGCAGCAGUCUAUCUGCCUCUCCUUACCAGGUUGAGAAUCGCUUCAAACCAUUCAGUGCCUUGUGAUGAAAUCCUCCAGCGCAACAUUGACCUUGCCACAGUGCUCACAUGGGGAUCAUGUUGAAAAUCACAUGGGCUUGGGUGGUCAUGGCAGUAAGAUAUUAAAGAUGACUUCACAACAUGAAACCCUUGACUGGAUGAAAUGUUUGUCCUCAAUUCAGCCGUGGAAGCCAGAAUCAAUAAGAGAAGUUCCAGCUGCUUACCCUAUCUGAAAACCUGGGUAGCGGAGCAAAGAGUAUGUCCCGGAAACAUUUGCAGUCACAGCACAUGAACCAGCGGCAUUCAUUGUCUCCAUAUUGCGAAUCCCCAUGGUGCAGAAACCUCCGUCUAUGAACAUCAUGCAGAGCGAACCUCAGUCGUCAAUUGAUGAAAUCAAACCAUCUAGUCAGAAAGCCAGUCUGUUGCAUCAGUUGUUAUCAUACUGACUCCAGUCAUACCUAGGAAGCUAAGAGAUAUAUUCUGUUUAAAAUAUGCUAGUCGCUGUGUACCCGGCCGUCUGUUAAGCAUUUACUCUGACAGGUCUCAUAUUUGAGUUUGGGGCAUUGUUCAGAUAGAAAUUGCACAAUGACAAAUCACAAUAAUUCAAAUGGAAAUUUAUGAAGUAAUGUGACGAGCAUCAUUGUGUUAUGUGACCAGCCAAGGUGUGUUAAAAAAAUACACUAUUUCAUAUCUCAUGGGGACUAUGGUGCUGCCAGUCAUUUUAUGUUGAAGGUUUUUGUUAACUUAAAUAUAGUUUGUAAAGUAUCAUUUUAAGCACACAUAUUGGCAGUAUAUCCAAUUUCUUUGGAUAUACUGGCAAUAGUUUCUUUUAUAGAUGUGCUAGUUAGAAAAUUGUUCAGAAAGGUUGAGAAUUUGUACGCUUCAGCUUUCUCCCUAAAAUGGUCAUUCUGUAUUUACUACCAGUACUACCAGUACUUUGUUGAUUUGAAUGGAUCUUGCGUUAUUUAGAAUGCUUUAAAUGAAACUGAGAAUUAAAAUAAUAUUUUAAAGAAUAAUAUGAGUUUUAUCAAUAAUGGCAAUAGUUAUGAUUGUUAAUUUGUGUUGUUAGAUCAUAUACUUACAUGCUCAUAAGUGUUGACAUUUGUUUUCGGACAUAAAAGCUUAUACUAUGUGUAUAUAGGCAUUUAGACGACAAGACUGUAUCAUAUUAAAUCAGUGUGUAACUUAACCAAGAUUUCUUGAUCACUGUAUAUAGGUAUAUUUUGCCAUUUAUACAUAGAUCAACUGCAAAACAAUUGUAUUUUUGAUGUAAAUCUUUCAUUUAUUGUUGCCAUUUUUAUAAGAUAAACUCCCUGUUUACUUUUAUUUGUACAAACCAUUGUUAUAGAAAAACAUUGCUUGUGUAAAUGCUUAUAUGUAUUAAACUGUUGAAGCAUACAGCAUGACAUAUCCUGAAGAGAAAAAGAAAUUUAAGCUAAUAUAAACACCUUGUUAUAUAAAAUGCUUUUCAUUAAAUAAAUUUAAUCUACUACUUAAAAUUUGUUUAAUUUUGUUUUACAUUAUCUUAAGAAAAAUUAAUACCUUGAAAUUUGAAAUAAAUCAAUGACAACUAAGGGAGAGUGAUGUCAUAUGCUAACAAUUGUAAUGAAUUGCACUUGUCCCUAUUGGAAAUAUUAGAGAGCAAUAUUAUUUGCUUAAGAAAGAAAACAAAGAUCUUUUUUGUAACAUUAUAAUUUUGUUUACAGCUCGAUGUAACACGUAAAUGCGUACAUAAUUUCAAAUUAUUUCACACUAUAUACUCAGCCAUAAGUGAAGUGGAAUAAACACUUUAAAAAAAUAUAUGCUUGUUUCAUGAAGUAAUAGUUAAGGUGCAAUAGGAUACUCAUCGUUGCACAAACACUAUUGCCGUGGUAGGGUUCACUUUGUGUAAUAACAAAAUGCAUCAUAAAUGACAUUUAUUAAAAUUCGUUAUAUUUGGAUGACCACACUGUGUGUAAAGUUUUGUAAUUGUGAUGAUGAUUAGUUCUGCACACAAUGCUUCUUUAAGAAAUCUGUACAUGUCAACAAUAAUACUAUACUUGUUCUUUAUUAUACUUGACAUAUUGCUGACAAUGAAUUGUGGCAUUUUACUAGUUUUGUUACAGUUUGUGUAGCGUUGACCGUUGCACACCUGCUGUCAGUGGAGUGCAUUUACUCUGACAGUUUCCAUAAAUUUCCUAAUUUCACACUUCAGCAAAUGUCUUAAGACCAAAUUUCCCUAAAAUGUGGUUGUUUAUAUUGAACUUUCAUUGAGUGAAUGAAUUUUUUUUGUUUUGUUAUUGUACUACCGUACUAACAUAGAGUUAUGUAUGUAAAUUGUGUGUUUCAAAUAUGUUUGAUUGCCUACUAUUAAUAACAUGUUGCAUCAGUAGAUAUUAUGAACAAGUAAAUAUAGUGUGUAUAAACUCUAAGGAGACUGCGCCAAGGUCUUUAUCAAUUGAUUGUAUACCUCAUAUUGAUCAUGGACUUCGUAGUUUAUUGCAUAUGUUUCAUACCUUUUGUAAAUAUCCUCAUAAUCUUCAGAUAACUGUUAAGCGUAUUUUAUAUACAUGUAUAUCUAAACUGUUACCUGAUGUAUGUUGCAUAGUGACCGUGUGUUGUUACGGCAAAUAAAACUACAAUAGUU